CGGUCUGUGAUUGGGUCCUGAAUACGAUAUGAUACUUGACCGUCGGCCGGGAAAAUGGGAGAUCGGCGCCCCCUUGUGCACCUGAUGAUAUAGAUUAUAUGGGGAUUUACAGGAUGGCUACUUGUUGUUGCGCACCUGAUAAUCUAGAUUUGAUUGUAGCCCGCAGGGUGGCCUCCUGUUGUGAGCACUUGAUGAUCUAGAUUGGAUGGAGACCACCGGGUUGCCUCCUGUGGGUAUGGAAAAGAAAAGAGAGAAUAGAAAAACAAUGAGAGGACUGGUCAGUGAGGAUUAGACCAGUUGGCCGUAUNNNNN
rnacentral:lncRNA from 1 species